GACGAACGCUGGCGGCGUGCUUAACACAUGCAAGUCGAACGGAAAGGCUCCAGCUUGCUGGCGUACUCGAGUGGCGAACGGGUGAGUAACACGUGGGUAAUCUGCCCUGCACUCUGGGAUAAGCCUGGGAAACUGGGUCUAAUACUGGAUAUGACCUUUCUCCUUAUGGGGUUUGGUGGAAAGUUUUUCGGUGUAGGAUGAGCCCGCGGCCUAUCAGCUUGUUGGUGGGGUGAUGGCCUACCAAGGCGACGACGGGUAGCCGGCCUGAGAGGGUGAUCGGCCACAUUGGGACUGAGAUACGGCCCAGACUCCUACGGGAGGCAGCAGGGGGGAAUAUUGCACAAUGGGCGGAAGCCUGAUGCAGCGACGCCGCGUGAGGGAUGACGGCCUUCGGGUUGUAAACCUCUUUCAGCAGGGACGAAGCGUAAGUGACGGUACCUGCAGAAGAAGCACCGGCUAGCUAUGUG
rnacentral:rRNA from 1 species